CUCCUCUUCUUCCUCCUUCUAUUCUUGUUGAUUUAUUAUAUAACCUCUUGAUACGGUGAUGUUUUCUUGUUUAGUUCGUUCUCUUAAGUGUUAACUAUGCUAAUGAAAGUCUUCCUCCUCAUCAUCCACCUCCACCUUCAGUUCUUCCUCCCCCUCGAUCCUCCUCCUUUUCUUCUUGUUGAUUAAUCUUUUAAUUUUUAAUGAUACCAACUGUGCUUAUGAAAAUGUUCCUCCUACUCCUGAUCGUCUUCAUCCACCACCUCCUCCUCUUCGUCCUCCUUCUCUUCUUCUUUCUACUCCUCCUCCUCCUCCUCCUCCUUGUCUUCUUGUAGAUUUAUUAUUUAAGCGCUGAUAACAGCUAUGUUAAUGAAAAUAAAUUUCACUUGCAGCCCCUGCUUCAGCUGCUGAGUUGGAUAACCCCCAGGAGGGGGUGCUCGUGGAUGACUCUCACCCACAGCCCUCACAGCAGCAACAUGGUCAGGAGAGUGCCGCCCCUGGUGCUGAGUUAGAUGACGACCUGGAGGGUGUACUCGUGAAUGAUCACCCACAGCCUUCACAGCAGCAACAUGGCCAGAAGGGUGCAGGCACUCCAGGGAAGGACGCAGCUUGUGUUCCUGCAACAAGUGACUGUGGAGACAUGGAUUUCCAUCUGUUAAAGGCCAGACAAGAAAAGACAGGUCUUCUUGCAGAAUUAGCGGAGAGG